GCCUUGCGAGUGUGCUGGACGCACGGUGGUCUUCGGAACCACAAGACGGGGUUCGACUCCCUGGCGGGGUGC
rnacentral:tRNA from 1 species